AACGAACGCUGGCGGCAUGCCUAACACAUGCAAGUCGAACGAGACCUUCGGGUUUAGGGGGGCACCGGGGGGUAACGCGGGGGAAGCUGCCCUUAGGUUCGGAAUAACUCCCCGAAAGGGGUGCUAAUACCGGAUAAUGUCUUCCGACCAAAGAUUUAUCGCCUUUGGAUGGGGCCGCGUUGGAUUAGGUAGUUGGUAGGGUAAAAGCCUACCAAGGCGACGAUGCAUAGCUGGUCUGAGAGGAUGAUCAGCCACACUGGGACUGAGACACGGCCCAGACUCCUACGGGAGGCAGCAGUGGGGAAUAUUGGACAAUGGGCGAAAGCCUGAUCCAGCAAUGCCGCGUGAGUGAUGAAGGCCUUAGGGUUGUAAAGCUCUUUUACCCGGGAUGAUAAUGACAGUACCGGGAGAAUAAGCUCCGGCUAACUCCGUG
rnacentral:rRNA from 1 species